rnacentral:tRNA from 1 species
UCAGAGGGUAGUUUAAUUUAGAAUUCUAGCUUUGGGAGCUAGUGGUGGGAGUUAAAAUCUCUUCUCUCUGA